rnacentral:rRNA from 1 species
AUUGAACGCUGGCGGCAGGCUUAACACAUGCAAGUCGAGCGAGCGGCGGACGGGUGAGUAAUGUCUGGGAAACUGCCUGAUGGAGGGGGAUAACUACUGGAAACGGUAGCUAAUACCGCAUACCAUCAGAUGUGCCCAGAUGGGAUGUGAGAGUAGGUGGGGUAAUGGCGAACCUAGGCGACGAGCCCUAGCUGGUCUGAGAGGAUGACCAGCCACACUGUAACUGAGCCACGGUCCAGACUCCGACGUGAGGCAGCAGUGGGGAAUAUUGCACAAUGGGCGCAAGCCUGAGGCAGCCAUGCCGCGUGUGUGAAGAAGGCCUUCGGGUUGUAAAGCACUUUCAGCGAGGAGGCGUUACUCGCAGAAGAAGCACCGGCUAACUCCGUGCCAGCAGCCGCGGUAAUUC